rnacentral:lncRNA from 1 species
CAGAACUGAAAGAGAACCUUUGAAACACCCUUUAGAUUAAGAGCCUGGCUUGUAAUCUGUAACAACAAACGGUAUUACAAUGAGGGGCUUCCUGCUUUGCUUGACACCCAUCCUCUCUCCUGCUUCCCUGUGAAGAGGUGCCUUCUGCCAUGAUUGCUGAGGCCUUCCCAUCCAUGUGGAACUGUGAGUCAAUUAAACCUUUUUCCUUAUAAAUUACCCAGUCUCAAGUGUUUCUUCAUAGCAAUGUGAAAACAAACUAAUAUAACUACUACAAAUAUAAGAUUUAGUAAAAAUAGUAGAUAGCAACAUACUGAACUUAUAAUGUUUCCAUUCAUAUAAAGCUAAAAACUAUGCAAAAAUAAACC